CAGGGGGAGGGCGAUCCGUCGCUGGGGGAGGCAGACGAGCCGGGCUCCCGGGGGGACGACGCCAAGCUGCGUCGCAGAACCAGGGGCUACUUUCAAAACAUUGACUUGGGUCUCCAAGACAACGAGAUCCUGCCCCCGCUGAAGGGCUACAAGGCCUACAACACCCAGCUGGCCCGCGCCGGCAAGAAGCAGCACUGGCCCGAGGAGCAGGCCCGCAACCGGCCCGCCCAGGGGGGCAACUUCAUGGACGACUUCGACGCCGAGGGCGAGGAGCUGGAGGAGGAGGUGGAGAGGGAGGAGGAGAGCCUCUCCCGCCUUGAGGAGGAGGCCAGGGCCCGCGCCGAGAAGCAGGAGGUACUGAGGCAGCAGCAGGAGGCGGAGCGCGCCCGCGAGGAGGAGCAGCGGCUGGCCGACAUUGCCUCGGACAUGCUGCUGCAGUACAUGGGCCGCAAGACGCCGCCCUACAUGAAGCCGCGGCAGAAGAGCAGCGCCGCGGCCGCCGCCAGCAACACGGCCGAGGACAAGCGGUCCGAGGAGGUGGCCACCGACGACGACGACGACGACAUGGACCAGCAGAUGAUCGACCGGCUGAUCGAGAUCAGCAGCAAGCUGCACCUGCCAGCCGACGACGUGGUGGAGAUCAUCAGCGACGUGGAGGAGAAGAAGAAGAAGAGGAAAGAGCUGCAGCAGCGGCCCGCCGACCUCCGCCCCGUCACCCAGCGGUUCAGGCCCCUGGUGCCCCCGCCUCUGGCCGCCCCGCCCAUGUACCACUACACGGCCUCCAGCAACCCCAAGAAGGCCGGCUACAAGUACAGGUCCGGCAAGAAGUGGCAGAAGGACAAGGUCAAGGCGUACAAGCAGGACUUUUGGUACAAGCCUCAGAAGCAGCGUGACUUCUGGUACAAACCGCAGAAACAGUUUUUGGCCUUCCCCUCCUAUCCCUACUACCAGAAGCCAUAUCGCGCCUACUACCCUGUGUAUUUCCCCUACCCUAAGCAACACUAUUACGGCAAAGCGUCCCCUUCCAUGGACCAGCAGUUAGGACCCCAGGAACUCGAACUCCCGACCCCCAGGCGCCGGUUCCGGUCGGGGGGGAAAGGACGCGGGCAGGGCUGGAGGCAGCAGCAGUCCCCGCCCCAGAGCCCCAUCACCCCUUAUAUCUCCAAUUACAUCCUCCCCCACCCAAGGACCUACCAGCCCUUACCUCCCCCAAACCAAUGACUCCCGCCAGGAGAGGAAGGCGCCCCCACUACUUCUACCCCCAGGUGACCCCCCACGCAGACGACUAUGAGGAGGACGGACUGGUUCCUCAGCUGGACAGCGAGGAGGAGCUGGAGAACUUUAUCGAGAGGAUCUACAUGAAGCGCCGAAUGUACUGAGAGGUGUCUGGACCGCGGUCCAAGCAGAGCCCAACCCUCUGUGGGACAGAUAGAGCAGAUGAGAAGGGAAGGAAGAGGUUAAAAUAUUUAAAAAAGAAUCAAAGGAGAUGACGUGGAAAAGGGGAUGUGUACAUUUAAGCCCCAUGGGAAUGCGAUGGUUAGGAAGAAAAACGGUUUGCUUUUGUGUUGUUGAUUUCUUCUCCUGUCGUUUUGGUUGAUUUAGGAGUUUCGCCCUGUGACCGUAUUCUGCCUCUGGAUCAGUUUACAUUCAAAAAACAGAACGUACCCCAGUGUAUGUCUGGCUCCAUUCAGGUCAAUCUCUGAUGUUCUUACGUUCUGUGUUUCAGAGUUCUUGGUGAGAAGGCACACACACACACACACACACACACACACACACACACACACACACACACACACACACAGACACACACACAUCCGCAAGCAUGCACCCACGCACGGCAUAUGCACGCAAGCACGCAAGCACACACGACACGCACGCACGCACGCCACACGCACGCACGCACACACACACACACACACACACAAACACACACACACACACACACCCACACAGAUACAAAGUGACAUCAAUUAACAAGAAAAUGUGCCAAAUGUGUGAGACUCAUGUUUACAACAGUUUUUCAUUUUGGUCUUUGACGUGUUAAUGUCAUGGUACAUAUCAAAUGUUACGCACAAUACUCCUGUUUUUUUCUUUCAUGCCAAAAAUAACGUCCAUCUAUAGAUAAGGUAAAAACCUUGAAAAGGUUUUCAAUUUGAAAACAUGAAAAAUAUAUUUCAACUCAACUCCAUUCUACAAUGAUUGCCUUGAAGUUGUUGUUAUUAUACCACCAACCGAAUUCAGAUCUAUCCCAUCAUAUCAACAACAACCCCAAAUGAUCCCAAUGAGUAAAACCCUGUGGAUUCCAAAAGCACAACUUUCACCAUUGAACAUCUCCAGCCUGGUGCUCUGAGGGUUUAUCAGUUGUUAUGGGAUACAGAGGUUAUUAUAGUAAAGACAUUGUGUUUCAAAUCACAUUCGCCAAUAUUAGUUUAGCAUUAAUAGUCAUGGAGAACCCUUAGUUGCCAAACAUCUAUUGCGUUUUAAUUGUCUUUCCAAUUGUGUUACUUAAACAUCAUUAGCUGCUGCCAGGGCAGCUGUCUUUUAUAUCGAUUUUAUUAUAAUUUCUUUAACCUUUUGCAUCCCUCAAACUCUGCUUUUUCUUUGUUCUGAAAAAAUACUUGAAGUCACAUAUUUAUUCUGCAGCCUGUCAAUGGGAUUGAGAGAAGACAUGAACCAAGAGGCAAAACAAAUGUUAUUCAUUUCUGAAGAGUUGGUAUUGAAAAGAUACAGGUUGGAGAGUCAGGGAUUGCGUUCAAAACGUUAAAUGCACGUCUUUUUACUUGCAACAAAAAAAAUGAACAAAAAAAUGAACAAAAAAAAGAGAAAAAAUUAAACAGUGUGGAGAAAUCAAGAUGACUGUUUCUCUGAAUAAACUGUGAACAUAAAAAAAGAAUUAUUCUCAAAGGAAGAUAGCCACUGUGUCUGCAGGUAGGCCGUCUGUCUGUCAAAGGAGAAUGUUGUGGUCCAUGUCACUUUUAGCAUUGUAAGAUGUACAGUGUGAAAUAAAUAUUCCUGUGCAAUGUGUAAAUAACAGCAUGAUGAUUAAUAGUUUUGCUAUAAGAGAAAGAAUAAAAGCAAUUAUUUUAUUAAAGCUCAGCUUUUUUU
ensembl:lncRNA